UACGGGGGGAGCAAGCGUUGUUCGGAUUUACUGGGCGUAAAGGGCGCGUAGGCGGCGCAACAAGUCACUUGUGAAAUCUCCGGGCUUAACCCGGAGCGGCCAAGUGAUACUGUCGUGCUAGAGUGCGGAAGGGGCUACUGGAAUUCUCGGUGUAGCGGUGAAAUGCGUAGAUAUCGAGAGGAACACCUGCGGCGAAGGCGGGUUGCUGGGCUGACACUGACGCUGAGGCGCGAAAGCUAGGGGAGCAAACAGG
rnacentral:rRNA from 1 species